GAUGGCCCACAUAUUUUAGAAUUACGGUAUACUGUGGUAAUUCGUGCAAUUUAAUUGAAUAAGUAGUUGUAAAGUCCAAGGAAAAAAAAACGAUGACUAUUAAAUUUGAAGCUUGAUAGUUGAUUUUGAUGAUCAUAUAAAUCAUUUCAAUUUCAAGUCGGCUUGUGAGCAGUAGUGAGCUCAGUGAUUAUAAUUUAUCUUUCUUUUUUUUUUGAAUUUAUCUUGAGAUUCCAGACUUUGUGUAUCACGAAGGGUGAACACACUGCUCGCGUGAAUUUUCAGUACUAAAUUAAAAGCGUCCAACGGGCGCUUUUAAUAUACGGCCUAAAGGCUCGUCUUUUUCCGCCAUCUUUUGAUUGAGUGCGCGUGACGAAGGACCGGUGUGGAGCUUCGCUUGGCCCGCCAGAUUGCUGGUAGUCAAACGGGGUCGAGAAGAAUCGACUGGCCUGCCUGCGUUCGGAAACGAAUGAUCGGGUAGAGUACCGGUCUUGCCGACAUCCUCCCCCGCACCUUUAGUUCGGCCGCUGUUUGAAGAAGUAUCCCCCGGCGACGCUAACGACUCGAAGCGUCCAGUUCGUUUUGGUCAGGAGACGAAUUCGACCAUCUCGGUGAACUCAUCGCACGCCAUCCGUGUGCCCCCGGCUGAAGAUCACCAACUGACAGCCAACAUAAAUCCUGCGCAGGUAUGUUCACUAAAGCCCUACAGUAAAAGUAUGGACGACUGUCACCACAAAACUGAAAAAAGCUGUUCCAAUCGAGCAAAGCGGUGCAUUUUGACGGUUCGAUUGGAACAACUUAUGACAGACGUCCAUACUUUUACUGUAGGGCUUUAAUGUUCACCCAUGGCCAUGACACACAAAUCAACACUCGCACUUACACAUACACCGCUAUGCUGAAAGAAAAAAAGAAUUAAUAUACAUGAAAAUGAAUUUAACAUAACUUACCUUUUGUAAUUCAUUCCCGAACCAAGAGCCCU